rnacentral:lncRNA from 1 species
AUUUGCUGAGUGGGUGGUCAAUGAAUGAACCCAUGUGAUUUAAUCCUCACUGUGUCCCUCCAAAGUAAGUAUCGUGAUCUCAUUUCCCUCCAGUUAAAUGGGCAAUAUCUGGCAAAGCAGGAUUGAGAGGCUGGUGUGAAUGAGACCCAUGCCCAGAGCCCCUUCCAGAACACUGCAAGCUUUUCCUCGCUGAGUUAAGGUUGUGUUCAUUUUGUUUAUCUCCUCAGACCAUAUAUUUUGGAUAUUUCUGCUGGGCCUGGCCACGCCUCAGUGUGCACAUUAACAAGUCCUUGAUGUCAGUCCUGUGGGAUCAAACACGCAGAAACCAAGCCAGCAGUGGAGCAGGGCUGCAGGCCCCCCAUGGUCUCCAUUACUCUCCCCCCGCCUUGCACCCUCCUUUAUGCCACAGAUAUAAUAUCUAAUUUCAUAGUUUGGCCAUGAAAUUUAAUAAUGCUUAAACCAGUAAGCAUUUCCUGAGCAUCUGCCAUGUUCCAGGAGCUAUGCUGGGUCAGAGUAGGAUGCAGAUGAAUCCUGCCUCGCCACAGUUCCAGCUGCUGGUGGGGCACUCCAGUCCUGGCAUCGCCAAGGGAUGGGAAGGUGGCCUCGAGGGAGGGGGUGGGGGCUUCCUCACGAACACUCUGGAGCUGCAGGCUCAUGAGGAUAAUAAAGCACAGGCCUAUUUUUAAAUUCUCCACAUAUACGGCGCCCCUUUGCUUCUAGCUGGUGUGGGUUUCUCACUCUCUUCGUGCAGGACAAUCCCCUUUAUUAAGCUUGGGCCCCAGCCACAAGCAAAAACCACUAUUUAAACAAGACUUUCCCUUACCACCCACAACACUUGAACAUAUUAAUAAGGUGAUGCGACCUAGUGUGACCUUUGAAGACAGGCACAAAAGCUGAUUGAAUUGGUAGGAUGUGCUUGACUCAGAAAUACAGUUUGAAAGGAAUGCGGGGGUAUUUACACUUUGGUGGUGUCCCCAAGAACGUCCAGCUGUUCUCCCUCAUGGUGAUGACACUCUUUGAGGUCUCUGAGGCCCUCUCCCUAAAAGAAUUAAACACCACAUCUGAUGCUCCUGCUAGAACCCCAGGCAAAUUUCCCUCUGACCCCCACAACCUGUCAGAUGAGGGACCCAGCUCUCUUGGCCACCUGCAGGCUACCAGAGGGUCUCUCUCUGAUUUCUAAAUGGACC